GAUGAACGCUGGCGGCGUGCCUAAUACAUGCAAGUCGAGCGAACAGACGAGGAGCUUGCUCCUCUGACGUUGGCGGCGGACGGGUGAGUAACACGUGGAUAACCUACCUAUAAGACUGGGAUAACUUCGGGAAACCGGAGCUAAUACCGGAUAAUAUAUUGAACCGCAUGGUUCAAUAGUGAAAGACGGUUUUGCUGUCACUUAUAGAUGGAUCCGCGCCGCAUUAGCUAGUUGGUAAGGUAACGGCUUACCAAGGCAACGAUGCGUAGCCGACCUGAGAGGGUGAUCGGCCACACUGGAACUGAGACACGGCCCAGACUCCUACGGGAGGCAGCAGUAGGGAAUCUUCCGCAAUGGGCGAAAGCCUGACGGAGCAACGCCGCGUGAGUGAUGAAGGUCUUCGGAUCGUAAAACUCUGUUAUUAGGGAAGAACAAAUGUGUAAGUAACUAUGCACGUCUUGACGGUACCUAAUCAGAAAGCCACGGCUAACUACGUG
rnacentral:rRNA from 1 species